AGCUUUGCGCAGUGGCAGUAUCGUUGCCAAUGAGGUUUAUCUGAGGCAAGCUUAUUGCUAAUUAAAAUAAAACUUGUGACACUUUCUGGUUACUUAAUGGUCAG
rnacentral:snRNA from 1 species